rnacentral:rRNA from 1 species
GUAGGUGGCAAGCGUUGUCCGGAAUUAUUGGGCGUAAAGCGCGCGCAGGCGGUUCUUUAAGUCUGAUGUGAAAGCCCACGGCUCAACCGUGGAGGGUCAUUGGAAACUGGAGAACUUGAGUACAGAAGAGGAAAGCGGAAUUCCACGUGUAGCGGUGAAAUGCGUAGAGAUGUGGAGGAACACCAGUGGCGAAGGCGGCUUUCUGGUCUGUAACUGACGCUGAGGCGCGAAAGCGUGGGGAGGAAACAGGGAUUAGAUACCCUGGUAGUCCACGCCGUAAACGAUGAGUGCUAAGUGUUAGGGGGUUUCCGCCCCCUUAGUGCUGCGGCUAACGCAUUAAGCACUCCGCCUGGGGAGUACGGCCGCAAGGCUG